CCGUUAUCCCCACCCCCUCUUCAUAUCUCUCUAACUCUCUUUCUCUCUCUAACUCUCUAUAUCCACAAACCCUCACCCCACCGCUGAUCCGCCAGAUCUGCUCACCCGCCCGCUGCUCCGCCACCGCCUUGCGACGCCGCUCCCCCACCGACGUUCACCGAUGCUCCGCAAGCAGCCGCCGCCCGCCGACGCGCUUCCUCCGCCACCGUCUGCCACCGCUGCCCCCCACGCUGAGAACAAAUCCAUAUUCCACCGCACGAGAUCCGUAUUUCGAUGAUUUGUACGAGACGAAGAAGAGCGUGGAGAAGUACGAGAUCUACAUCUUCAAGGUGCUCCGUUUUCUAUUGUUUUGUAUUAUUUUUCCCCUGCUCCGAUCCGUUUUCCCCGUCUUUGUUUUAGAUUCGUUUUAUAUUUUUCCUGCUCCGUUUUCCCCAUCUUCGUUUUAGAUUCGUUUUAUAUUUCCUCGUCUUUGUUUCAGAUUCGUUUUAUAUUUUCCCAUUCUCUGUUUUCCCCAUCUUCGUUUAAGAUUCGUUUUAUAUUUCCUCGUCUUCGUUUCAGAUUCGUUUUAUAUUUUCCCGUUCUCCGUUUUCCCCAUCUGCGCUUUAGAUUCGUUUUAUUCCCCUACGGAUUUGGGAGGUUUUGUUCAUUACGUGAUUUAAUCAAGUUUCUAUGGUUUGUCUUAGUACCAAGGUGGUAAAUUGGAAACUGCACAAAGCCCGAUAAUUGUGUUUUGAUUUUUUUUUCGUGUUUUUUUUUUUUUUAAAUAAAGUAUAAUGAAUGUUGCAGCAGCAUCUGGCAGGGAUUGCAAAAUUCAUUAUCUUAAACAGUUGUGAACUUUUUUUGUGGUGUAGAUGAAUUUUAUUCAUAUACAUAUAUAGUCAUAUGAUCGUAUACAUAUAGUCAUACAUAGUCACAUAUAGUAACAUGAAUGAACAUAACUACAUGUGACUAUAGUUGACUACAUAUAGUCAUAUCUAGUCAUAUGCAGUAACAACUACUUGUGACUAUAGUUCACCAAAAUAAAUUUAUCAAAAAAAUGUAUUUCAUUGUUUUUUUUAGUUUUUCACGUAAUAUAAUUCGCUUGUUCCAUUUUUGUUCUUCGUUUUCUUUAACUUGUAUUUUUUGUCACAGGUUUUGCUUUGUGUAACAUUAUGAGAUGCAAAGAAUAAGAUGCACAGAAGUGUCAUGUGACGUUUCAUUGUAGAUAAUUGUAGAUAACUAUAGUCACGUGUAGUAACAUAUAGUUAUAUAUGUGUUAUGUGUUUUUUAAUGUAUAGUAAUGCGUGUUCAUGUUUUGAAGAUUUUAUGGAUGUGAUUGUGUUUUUUUUUUUUUUUUUUUUGGGUUAGUUGAUUUAUAAUAUCAAGAUUGAAAUUGUAAAUUUUGUUGUUCGUGUAGAUUAAUUUUGGUAAAAAAACAG
rnacentral:lncRNA from 1 species